rnacentral:rRNA from 1 species
CUACUCGGGUUUCUAAUCCUGUUUGCUCCCCACGCUUUCGUGCCUCAGUGUCAAUGACCGUGUAGCAAGCUGCCUUCGCAAUUGGUGUUCUAUGUCAUAUCUAAGCAUUUCACCGCUACAUGACAUAUUCCGCUUACCUCCACGAUAUUCAAGACUAAUAGUAUCAAUGGCAGUUCCCAAGUUAAGCUCGGGGAUUUCACCACGGACUUACUAGCCCACCUACGCACCCUUUAAACCCAGUGAAUCCGGAUAACGCUUGCACCCUCCGUAUUACCGCGGCUGCUGGCAC